GAUGAACGCUGGCGGCGUGCCUAAUACAUGCAAGUCGAGCGAACAGACGAGGAGCUUGCUCCUCUGAUGUUAGCGGCGGACGGGUGAGUAACACGUGGAUAACCUACCUAUAAGACUGGGAUAACUUCGGGAAACCGGAGCUAAUACCGGAUAACAUGUUGAACCGCAUGGUUCAACAGUGAAAGACGGUCUUGCUGUCACUUAUAGAUGGAUCCGCGCCGCAUUAGCUAGUUGGUAAGGUAACGGCUUACCAAGGCAACGAUGCGUAGCCGACCUGAGAGGGUGAUCGGCCACACUGGAACUGAGACACGGUCCAGACUCCUACGGGAGGCAGCAGUAGGGAAUCUUCCGCAAUGGGCGAAAGCCUGACGGAGCAACGCCGCGUGAGUGAAGAAGGUCUUCGGAUCGUAAAACUCUGUUAUUAGGGAAGAACAAUUGUGUAAGUAACUAUGCACGUCUUGACGGUACCUAAUCAGAAAGCCACGGCUAACUACGUG
rnacentral:rRNA from 1 species